rfam:Myotis davidii contig150650, whole genome shotgun sequence.
GGUGGUUCUUGGGUGAUGUACCCCGGAAUUAGGCUCUCUGCUCUCUGGUUCCAGGCGUGUCACCCGAGAACCGCA